rnacentral:lncRNA from 1 species
CCGUGUCAACUAGACAGAUACUUAGGUUUCUUGAUCUGAAAUGGGGAUCCUGUUGAGCUCGAUGAGAACAUAGAGGAUCCAGUCACCUAUAUGAAUGCAAUACAAAGAUCCGACAUUGAAAAAUGGCUAGAGCCAUAAAAUUCAAAAUAGAGUUCAUGAAGAUCAACAAUGUGUGGACAUUGGUUGAUCCACUUGAAGGGGUAAAAUCUAUAGGGUGUAAGUGGAUCUUCAAAAGGAAAAAGGGUGC